CUCAUACUCCCUCCGUCCCAAAAUAAGUGUCUCAACUUUGUACUAGUUAGUACAAAGUUUUGUACUAACUUUAGACUUUGUACUAACUAGUACAAAGUUGAGACACUUAUUUUGGGACGGAGGGAGUAUUUC
rfam:Triticum aestivum genome assembly, contig: Triticum_aestivum_CS42_TGACv1_scaffold_433694_5DL